UUAAGCGACUAAGCGUACACGGUGGAUGCCCUGGCAGUCAGAGGCGAUGAAGGACGUGCUAAUCUGCGAAAAGCGUCGGUAAGGUGAUAUGAACCGUUAUAACCGGCGAUGUCCGAAUGGGGAAACCCAGUGCAAUUCGUUGCACUAUCGUUAACUGAAUACAUAGGUUAACGAGGCGAACCGGGGGAACUGAAACAUCUAAGUACCCCGAGGAAAAGAAAUCAACCGAGAUUCCCCCAGUAGCGGCGAGCGAACGGGGAGCAGCCCAGAGUCUGAAUCAGCUUGUGUGUUAGUGGAACGGUCUGGAAAGUCCGACGGUACAGGGUGAUAGUCCCGUACACCAAAAUGCACAGGUUGUGAACUCGAAGAGUAGGGCGGGACACGUGGUAUCCUGUCUGAAUAUGGGGGGACCAUCCUCCAAGGCUAAAUACUCCUGACUGACCGAUAGUGAACCAGUACCGUGAGGGAAAGGCGAAAAAGAACCCCGGCGAGGGGAGUGAAAAAGAACCUGAAACCGUGUACGUACAAGCAGUGGGAGCACCUUUAUGGUGUGACUGCGUACCUUUUGUAUAAUGGGUCAGCGACUUAUAUUCUGUAGCAAGGUUAACCGUAUAGGGGAGCCGCAGGGAAACCGAGUCUUAACUGGGCGUUAAGUUGCAGGGUAUAGACCCGAAACCCGGUGAUCUAGCCAUGGGCAGGUUGAAGGUUGGGUAACACUAACUGGAGGACCGAACCGACUAAUGUUGAAAAAUUAGCGGAUGACUUGUGGCUGGGGGUGAAAGGCCAAUCAAACCGGGAGAUAGCUGGUUCUCCCCGAAAGCUAUUUAGGUAGCGCCUCGUGAACUCAUCUUCGGGGGUAGAGCACUGUUUCGGCUAGGGGGUCAUCCCGACUUACCAACCCGAUGCAAACUACGAAUACCGAAGAAUGUUAUCACGGGAGACACACGGCGGGUGCUAACGUCCGUCGUGAAGAGGGAAACAACCCAGACCGCCAGCUAAGGUCCCAAAGUCAUGGUUAAGUGGGAAACGAUGUGGGAAGGCAUAGACAGCUAGGAGGUUGGCUUAGAAGCAGCCAUCAUUUAAAGAAAGCGUAAUAGCUCACUGGUCGAGUCGGCCUGCGCGGAAGAUGUAACGGGGCUAAACCAUGCACCGAAGCUGCGGCAGCGACACUAUGUGUUGUUGGGUAGGGGAGCGUUCUGUAAGCCUGCGAAGGUGGCCUGUGAGGGCUGCUGGAGGUAUCAGAAGUGCGAAUGCUGACAUAAGUAACGAUAAAGCGGGUGAAAAGCCCGCUCGCCGGAAGACCAAGGGUUCCUGUCCAACGUUAAUCGGGGCAGGGUGAGUCGACCCCUAAGGCGAGGCCGAAAGGCGUAGUCGAUGGGAAACAGGUUAAUAUUCCUGUACUUGGUGUUACUGCGAAGGGGGGACGGAGAAGGCUAUGUUAGCCGGGCGACGGUUGUCCCGGUUUAAGCAUGUAGGCGGAGGUUCCAGGUAAAUCCGGUACCUUUUUAACGCUGAGGUGUGAUGACGAGGCACUACGGUGCUGAAGUAACAAAUGCCCUGCUUCCAGGAAAAGCCUCUAAGCAUCAGGUAACAUUAAAUCGUACCCCAAACCGACACAGGUGGUCAGGUAGAGAAUACCAAGGCGCUUGAGAGAACUCGGGUGAAGGAACUAGGCAAAAUGGUGCCGUAACUUCGGGAGAAGGCACGCUGGUGUGUAGGUGAAGUCCCUGCGGAUGGAGCUGAGACCAGUCGAAGAUACCAGCUGGCUGCAACUGUUUAUUAAAAACACAGCACUGUGCAAACACGAAAGUGGACGUAUACGGUGUGACGCCUGCCCGGUGCCGGAAGGUUAAUUGAUGGGGUUAUCCGUAAGGAGAAGCUCUUGAUCGAAGCCCCGGUAAACGGCGGCCGUAACUAUAACGGUCCUAAGGUAGCGAAAUUCCUUGUCGGGUAAGUUCCGACCUGCACGAAUGGCGUAAUGAUGGCCAGGCUGUCUCCACCCGAGACUCAGUGAAAUUGAACUCGCUGUGAAGAUGCAGUGUACCCGCGGCAAGACGGAAAGACCCCGUGAACCUUUACUAUAGCUUGACACUGAACAUUGAGCCUUGAUGUGUAGGAUAGGUGGGAGGCUUUGGAGCGUGGACGCCAGUCUGCGUGGAGCCAACCUUGAAAUACCACCCUUUAAUGUUUGAUGUUCUAACGUUGGCCCGUAAUCCGGGUUGCGGACAGUGUCUGGUGGGUAGUUUGACUGGGGCGGUCUCCUCCCAAAGAGUAACGGAGGAGCACGAAGGUUAGCUAAUCCUGGUCGGACAUCAGGAGGUUAGUGCAAUGGCAUAAGCUAGCUUGACUGCGAGCGUGACGGCGCGAGCAGGUGCGAAAGCAGGUCAUAGUGAUCCGGUGGUUCUGAAUGGAAGGGCCAUCGCUCAACGGAUAAAAGGUACUCCGGGGAUAACAGGCUGAUACCGCCCAAGAGUUCAUAUCGACGGCGGUGUUUGGCACCUCGAUGUCGGCUCAUCACAUCCUGGGGCUGAAGUAGGUCCCAAGGGUAUGGCUGUUCGCCAUUUAAAGUGGUACGCGAGCUGGGUUUAGAACGUCGUGAGACAGUUCGGUCCCUAUCUGCCGUGGGCGCUGGAGAAUUGAGGGGGGCUGCUCCUAGUACGAGAGGACCGGAGUGGACGCAUCACUGGUGUUCGGGUUGUCAUGCCAAUGGCACUGCCCGGUAGCUAAAUGCGGAAGAGAUAAGUGCUGAAAGCAUCUAAGCACGAAACUUGCCCCGAGAUGAGUUCUCCCUGAGACUAUAAGUCUCCUGAAGGAACGUUGAAGACGACGACGUUGAUAGGCCGGGUGUGUAAGCGCAGCGAUGCGUUGAGCUAACCGGUACUAAUGAACCGUGAGGCUUAACCUU
rnacentral:rRNA from 1 species